GCUGGGUGUGGUGGUGCAUGCCUGUAAUCCCAGCCACUGGGAGGCUGAGGCAGGAGAAUCACUUGAACCUGGGAGGCAGAGGUUGCAGUGAGCCAAGACUGCACCACUGCACUCUAGCCUGGGCAACAGAGCGAGAUUCUGUCUCAA
rnacentral:SRP_RNA from 1 species